CCAGUUGGCCGGGCAGCCGCGCUUUACCAACGCCGAAAGGCGGUAGAGUGAGGAAAGUCCGGGCUCCACGGAAACACGGUGCCGGAUAACGUCCGGCGAGGGCGACCUCAGGGAAAGUGCCACAGAAAGCAAACCGCCUGUCAUGACAGGUAAGGGUGAAAGGGUGGGGUAAGAGCCCACCGCAUCUCCGGCAACGGAUAUGGCACGGUAAACCCCACCGGGAGCAAGACCGAAUAGGGAUGACGCGGUGGGCCGAAAGGCCCUCCGGCCGGUUUCCAGGCCAGUCAUCCGGGUGGGUUGCGCGAGGCAGCGUGCGAACGCUGUCCCAGAGGAAUGGCUGCCACGUUCCGGUUCGCGCCGGAGCCAUACAGAACCCGGCUUACAGGCCAACUGGCGAU
rnacentral:RNase_P_RNA from 2 species